ACUUAGGAGUCGAGUGUUGAACAUUCUAGUGGCGAACGGGUGAGUAACGCGUAGGCAACCUGCCGUUAGACGGGGACAACAUUCCGAAAGGAGUGCUAAUACCGGAUGAGAUCAUUUUCCCGCAUGGGAGAGUGAAUAAAGAUGGCCUCGUACAUGUAAGCUAUCGCUAAAGGAUGGGCCUGCGUCUGAUUAGCUAGUCGGUAGUGUAACGGACGUACCAAGGCGAUGAUCAGUAGCCGGUCUGAGAGGAUGAACGGCCACAUUGGGACUGAGACACGGCCCAAACUCCUACGGGAGGCAGCAGUGGGGAAUCUUCCGCAAUGGACGAAAGUCUGACGGAGCAACGCCGCGUGAGUGAUGAAGGAUUUUCCGGGUCUGUAAAACUCUGUUGUUUAUGACGAACGUGUAGUGUGUGAAUAAUGCAUUGCGAUGACGGUAGUAAACGAGGAAGCCACGGCUAACUACGUGCCAGCCGCAGC
rnacentral:rRNA from 1 species